rnacentral:rRNA from 1 species
GAUGAACGCUAGCUACAGGCUUAACACAUGCAAGUCGCGGGGCAGCAUGGGGGUUGCUUGCAAUCCCCGAUGGCGACCGGCGCACGGGUGAGUAACGCGUAUCCAACCUGCCCUUCACCACGGGAUAACCCGGCGAAAGUCGGACUAAUACCGUAUGUUGUCCAUUGACGGCAUCCGAUUUGGACGAAAGGCUUGGCGGUGAGGGAUGGGGAUGCGUCCGAUUAGCCAGACGGCGGGGUAACGGCCCACCGUGGCUACGAUCGGUAGGGGUUCUGAGAGGAAGGUCCCCCACACUGGAACUGAGACACGGUCCAGACUCCUACGGGAGGCAGCAGUGAGGAAUAUUGGUCAAUGGGCGUAAGCCUGAACCAGCCAAGUAGCGUGCAGGAUGACGGCCCUAUGGGUUGUAAACUGCUUUUAUGCGGGGAUAAAGUGGCCCACGGGUGGGCUUUUGCAGGUACCGCAUGAAUAAGAACCGGCUAAUUCCGUG